rnacentral:rRNA from 1 species
UACGUAGGGGGGCGAGCGUUGUCCGAAGUUACUGGGCGUAAAAGCGCGCGUAGGCGGGGUUCUUAAGUGAGGGGGUGAAAGGUUUGGGCUCAACCCAAACACUGCCUUUCAUACUGGGAGCCUUGAGUAUGGGAGAGGCGAGUGGAAUGGUCGGUGUAGCGGUGAAAAUGCGUAGAUAUCGAUCGGAACACCCAUGGCGAAGGCAGCUCGCUGGCCUAAAAACUGACGCUGAGGCGCGAAAAGCGUGGGGGAGCAAAACAGG